rnacentral:tRNA from 1 species
GGGUCGGUGGCGUAGUUGGUCAUCGCAUCUGUCUAACAUAAUACGCUAGGCUUUAGUUUGCACAGAAGGUCCUCAGUUCGAACCUGGGCCGACUCA